AUCCAACUGACGAGUCCGAAAUGGGACGAAACGCGCGAUCUGGAU
rnacentral:hammerhead_ribozyme from 1 species